ACCGGAUAAGUCUUUACGGAGAAAGCUUUAUGCACCAUUGGAUGAGCCUGCACUUGAUUAGUUUGUUGGUGGGGUAAUGGCCUACCAAGACUGUGAUCAAUAGCUGAUUUGAGAGGAUGAUCAGCCACAUUGGGACUGAGACACGGCCCAAACUCCUACGGGAGGCAGCAGUGGGGAAUCUUGCACAAUGGAGGAAACUCUGAUGCAGCGAUGCCGCGUGAGUGAAGAAGGCCUUUGGGUUGUAAAGCUCUUUCGUCGGGGAAGAAAAUGACUGUACCCGAAUAAGAAGGUCCGGCUAACUUCGUGCCAGCAGCCGCGGUAAUACGAAGGGACCUAGCGUAGUUCGGAAUUACUGGGCUUAAAGAGUUCGUAGGUUGUUGAAAAAGUUGGUGGUGAAAUCCCAGAGCUUAACUCUGGAACUGCCAUCAAAACUUUUCAGCUAGAGUAUGAUAGAGGAAAGCAGAAUUUCUAGUGUAGAGGUGAAAUUCGUAGAUAUUAGAAAGAAUACCAAUUGCGAAGGCAGCUUUCUGGAUCAUUACUGACACUGAGGAACGAAAGCAUGGGUAGCGA
rnacentral:rRNA from 1 species